CCAGGUUCCUUGUUGCUUGCACUAAAGCCUUCAGUAAUAUGCAUUGCAAGAAACAAGAUUACACGCUGUAUCUGAGCUUCCUUUUAGAUCUAGAAUGGUACAAGCUAGGUACAAAGGAUAAUUAAUCUAACAGUUUUCAUAUUUCCAUGUUCAAAUAUGUUUAAUUCUCUAGACCAGAGGCGGAGAGAAAAGGUUGGAAAAAAAUGUUCUACAUUGACUCUUCAAAGCUCAUUUCAGAUAUGAGGCUCCCACCCAAACUGGAGGAAUCUCAGAGAGAAUGCUUGGAAUUUCCUCCUUAAAAUCAGAACUGCGUCAAGUGUAACUUUGAAGUUCAUACUUCCUGGAGAAUUUUUCUAAAGCACGUGUAGGUAAAUAUGCUCAGCAUUCCUAUCCGCCUUGGGCUUUGAGUCUGUUCUUAACUAAAUCAUAAAACUUGUACAUGGUAAGUUAAAAACUGCUAACAGCUGUACCAGGAGGUAAAUAAAUCUGGAGAUAAACAGCC